rnacentral:rRNA from 1 species
CUACGGGCUGCUCCAGUGAGGAAUAUUGCACAAUGGGGGGAACCCUGAUGCAGCAACGCCGCGUGGAGGAUGACGCAUUUCGGUGUGUAAACUCCUUUUAUAUGUCAAGAAAAUGACGGUAGCAUAUGAAUAAGCACCGGCUGAACUCCGUGCCAGCAGCCGCGGUAAUACGGAGGGUGCAAGCGUUACUCGGAAUCACUGGGCGUAAAGGACGCGUAGGCGGGUUGGAAAGUCAGGUGUGAAAUCCUACAGCUUAACUGUAGAACUGCACUUGAAACUUCUAAUCUAGAGUAUGGGAGGGGGAGAUGGAAUUAGUGGUGUAGGGGUAAUAUCCGUAGAUAUCACUAGGAAUACCUAAAGCGAAGGCGAUCUCCUGGAACAUUAUUGACGCUAAGGCGUGAAAGCGUGGGGAGCAAACAGGAUUAGAUACCCCCGUAGUC